rnacentral:rRNA from 1 species
UACGUAGGUGGCAAGCGUUGUCCGGAUUUACUGGGUGUAAAGGGCGUGUAGCCGGGCUGACAAGUCAGAUGUGAAAUCCGGGGGCUCAACCCCCGAACUGCAUUUGAAACUGUUGGUCUUGAGUAUCGGAGAGGCAGGCGGAAUUCCUAGUGUAGCGGUGAAAUGCGUAGAUAUUAGGAGGAACACCAGUGGCGAAGGCGGUCUGCUGGACAGCAACUGACGCUGAGGCGCGAAGGUGCGGGUAUCGAACAGG